UCCCUGGUGGUCCAGUGGCUAAGAGUCUGUACUGCCAAUGCAGGGGGCCAGGUUUAAUCCCUGGUCAGGGAG
rnacentral:tRNA from 1 species